UACGUAGGUGGCAAGCGUUGUCCGGAUUUACUGGGCGUAAAGAGCGCGCAGGCGGCCAAGUCAGUCGAAUGUGAAAGCCCCGGCUCAACUGGGGAAAGUCAUUCGAUACUGCUCGGCUUGAAGAUAGGAGAGGGAAGCGGAAUUUCAGGUGUAGUGGUGAAAUGCGUAGAUAUCUGAAGGAACACCAGUGGCGAAGGCGGCUUUCUGGCCUAUUCUUGACGCUGAGGCGCGAAAGCUAGGGGAGCGAACGGG
rnacentral:rRNA from 1 species